rnacentral:tRNA from 1 species
UUUGACAUCCUGAGAUAAGGGUUUGCGUUUCGGCCGCAAAUUGGGAGAGAUUGAUCUUCUGUCAAAG